UAGUCUGGUGCCAGCAGCCGCGGUAAUUCCAGCUCCAAUAGCGUAUAUUAAAGUUGUUGCAGUUAAAACGCUCGUAGUCGGAUUUCGGGGCGGUUUUGCCGGUCUGCCGUUGGGUAUGCACUGGUGCGAGCGUCCUUCCUUCCGGAGACGGCGCCUGCUCUUAACUGAGUGGGUGUCGGAGACGGAUCGUUUACUUUGAAAAAAUCAGAGUGUUUCAAGCAGGCAGCUCGCUUUUGCAUGGAUUAGCAUGGGAUAAUGAAAUAGGACUUUGGUGCUAUUUUGUUGGUUUCGAACACCGAAGUAAUGAUUAACAGGGACAGUCAGGGGCACUCGUAUUCCGCCGAGAGAGGUGAAAUUCUCAGACCAGCGGAAGACGCACCACUGCGAAAGCAUUUGCCAGGGAUGUUUUCACUGAUCAAGAACGAAAGUUAGGGGAUCGAAGACGAUCAGAUACCGUCGUAGUCUUAACCAUAAACCAUGCCGACUAGGGAUUGGAGGAUGUUCCAAUGUGACUCCUUCAGCACCUUUCGGGAAACUAAAGUCUUUGGGUUCCGGGGGGAGUAUGGUCGCAAGGCUGAAACUUAAAGGAAUUGACGGAAGGGCACCACCAGGAGUGGAGCCUGCGGCUUAAUUUGACUCAACACGGGGAAACUUACCAGGUCCAGACAUUGUGAGGAUUGACAGAUUGAGAGCUCUUUCUUGAUUCGAUGGGUGGUGGUGCAUGGCCGUUCUUA
rnacentral:rRNA from 1 species